CUAUUUCCCCAAUUUCCCUCCUCUUUCUUUCUCUCUCUCGAUAUCUUUUUUCUUCUUCGAUUUCUCUUCCAUUUCACCUGUGAGGCGGAUUGUUCUUUGAUUUCUCUUCCACUCCAUCUGUGCGGCUGGCAGAGGCAAACGGCUGAAGGAGGCAAAAGGCUGACAGAGGCAAGCGAAUGAAAUCUUACGUUUGAAAAGGAAAAGCAUAAAACAAACAAAAAAAUCAGUUUUUUUAUUUACUCUCAUCUCAAGAAGAAGAAGAUCGAAACAGAGAUUGGGGUAUUGCGGAGACGGAGUGGUUUCGAGUGCUAAUUCGAAGUCGAGGUUCAUGGUUCCUGCUAUAGUAUGGUCGCUGUUUCAACCUUUUCAGUUCAGAGAGUGUUCGGUGAAACCAAUUCUUCCUAAUACAUUGAAAAGCUAUUGAGGAAGCCUAUUAAAAAUGUUUGGAGGAAUGGCGUCAAAGUCAACCUGAUUCCGAGGAUGGUAGCUCAACCCAAGUGUCACUCAAUGAUGUAGCUUUAAUAUGGACGCAUGUGGUUGGUGGUGCAAAGAAAGGUAGAACCUACGGUCUUAGAUCACAAUAUUCCGUAGGUCGUCCUACGACAUUGUUGUCUGGUGAUACGAGUUAUUCGCAGGAUCAUGAAGAGGUGGAAGCAUUACGAAGAGAAGUUGAAGAGUUGAAGGAGGAACAGAAAGAAGAUCGUGCAAAUUUUAACAAAUUGCAGAGUUUAGUGGAGAAACUUAUGAGCAUGCGUCAAGUUGAUCCUUUGAAUGACGAACAUGGCGGGGAUAAUGAGUUUUAGUUUGUUGUGGUUGUGAUGUUUGAGACAUUAUUGUUUGUUAUGGUUGGAUGUUUAGACUUGGUAAAUGUUUAGACUUGACUAUGAUUGUAAUCUUAAGAUUUGAUUGAAUGGUGCUUGGGUGUUUUACUUGU